GGAGUUAGCCGGUGCUUCUUCUGCGAGUAACGUCACAGAUGUAAGGUAUUAACUUACACCCUUUCCUCCUCGCUGAAAGUGCUUUACAACCCGAAGGCCUUCUUCACACACGCGGCAUGGCUGCAUCAGGGUUUCCCCCAUUGUGCAAUAUUCCCCACUGCUGCCUCCCGUAGGAGUCUGGGCCGUGUCUCAGUCCCAGUGUGGCUGAUCAUCCUCUCAGACCAGCUAGGGAUCGUCGCCUAGGUGAGCCUUUACCUCACCUACUAGCUAAUCCCACCUGGGCUUAUCCAUCAGCGCAAGGCCCGAAGGUCCCCUGCUUUCCCCCGUAGGGCGUAUGCGGUAUUAGCAGUCGUUUCCAACUGUUAUCCCCCACAAAUGGGCAAAUUCCCAGGCAUUACUCACCCGUCCGCCGCUCGUCAUCUUCAAAGCAAGCUUUUGAAUGUUACCGCUCGACUUGCAUGUGUUAGGCCUGCCGCCAGCGUUCAAUCUGAGCCAGAAUCGAACCCUGA
rnacentral:rRNA from 1 species